CCCUUAGAUGUUCUGGGCCGCACGCGCGCUACACUGAUGCAUUCAACAAGUUCUACCUUGGCCGAGAGGCCUGGGAAAUCUUUCAAAUAUGUAUCGUGAUAGGGAUAGAUUAUUGCAAUUAUUAACCUUGAACGAGGAAUUCCUAGUAAAUGCAGAUCAUCAUUCUGCGUUGAUUACGUCCCUGCCCUUUGUACACACCGCCCGUCGCACCUACCGAUUGAAUGAUCCGGUGAAGCCUCGGGAUUGUGCCCAGAGAACUUUAUUGUGAUUUGGGUGUGAGAACUUGUCUAAACCUUAUCAUUUAGAGGAAGGUGAAGUCGUAACA
rnacentral:rRNA from 1 species